rnacentral:rRNA from 1 species
CGGGAAACUGGGGAUAAUAGUAGAUAGAUAAAAGAUACUGGAAUGGUCGUUUAUCCAAAGCUGUUGCGCCUGAGGAUGGGCCUGCGUCCGAUUAGGUUGUUGGUGGGGUAAUGGCCCACCAAGCCUGCGAUCGGUACGGGCAGUGAGAGCUGAAGCCCGGAGUUGGGGACUGAGACAAGGCCCCAGGCCCUACGGGGCGCAGCAGGCGCGAAACCUCUGCAAUGCGGGAAACCGUGACAGGGGGAUCCCAAGUGCUCAUGCAUUGCAUGGGCUGUUCUUUGGUCUAAUUAUCCAGAGGAGUACGGGCUGGGCAAGACCGGUGCCAGCCGCCGCGGUAAUA